GCUGGAGAUGCACUUCCUCACUGCAGCUGAACAGGCGACAGACGAUCCGCUCUGUGGCGCUCUGAUAGCAUGAAUUAUUAAGCGUGUGUUAGGGGAGCAGGCGACUUUAAGAUGUUAACUGAUGGACUGGAGUGCUGUGGAUUACUUGUGGAUUAUUGUGAUGUUUUUAUCAGCUGUUUGGACUCUCAUUCUGACGGCACCCAUUCACUGCAGAGCAUCCAUUGCUGAGACACUGAUGCAGUGCUACAUUUCUCCAAACCUGAUGAAGACACACUCUCAUCCUGAUCUCGGAUGCACUGAGAUUUGUGAAGAGAGCAUAAAGAAGCUUGUGACGAAGGCCGUCUGCAACCCAGAACAUCUGCAAGGCUUUGAAAGCCAACAAAACAACCUCUGUUGCCACAAUUUAGAGAAACUUUACAAGCUCUUUUCCAAGUGUGAUGAGCGCUUGCCAGUUGAAAGCACUAAUAGCUUGUGGAUGAAGGCAGAAAGACACGGCACUCUCUACCCAGAGAUCUCAGAGUUACUGCAGAACCGAGCCAGACCUCGCAACUCUUCAACACACGCAGAGCGAAACAGACACUUUCAACCCAGUUAAAGUUUCAACUGCAUGGAAGUUUAUGAACAACUGCCUGUUUGCUCCAGGGACACGAAGAGAAGAAGAGCACACACUUCUGAGAGAAAUGAAGCACACUCAGAUUACACAAGAGACCAACGUUUAACACGUCUCUCUUUACUCUAAACCGAUACUAAAGAUCGCAAGCAUUCACUGGCUCAGACUCAGUAUGGCUGGAGUUUUAGUUGAGAAAAGCCACGGAUAUAACAAACACAAUCAGAGGCGCAGACAGAGCUACACAAGAGUAAUUGUAGACUAUGGUCCGAUGCACCGUGUAAAUUCAUCCCCAGCUUUGCAUCAGUGCACAGACAUCAAAAUAAUAUGGAAAUUCUGUCUGAAUUAAGUGAAUAAGCCCUUUUCAUCUGGUGCCAUAAGGCAUGUAAAGCAAUGACGUGGAAUAAUCUGUCAUUGGGUUUUGUGGCCGUCAGCAGUAAAAUAUGAAGCUUUAUUCCACUUGCCUUCAAACGCCUGUAAGACUGUUUAAUGUGUUAACCAAACGCCCCGCAGGACUCACGCUGAUGAUAAUGGAUCAGGAAAAACAAGCAAUAUUCAGCUCGCAUAAACAGAUUUGCUCUCUGAGGAGACGCAUAGGGAAAUUAUAUUCACAACUGAGAUAUCAAUAAAACACACAUCCCUCCGAGAGAACAGAAAAACGUCUGAGAAAUGGAGGGGAAAUCAUGUUUUGUUAAAUAUUUCUUAAUGACAUUUGUGCAGGACUCCAAUUAUAUCUUGUUUAUACACUUAAUCAAAAUCUAUGUCUUGUUUUCUAGCAAAGAAAAGAAAAGAAAAGAAACAUCCUUAAAAUAAGAUACAUUUACUUUUUUUGUAAACUAUUGUUUUAAUAACUGAAAUAAUACAUAAUAAACCUCAUUCAGUUUUGUUUAAAACUUCAUUCAAACUAUACAUUCCCUGAAAAAAAAAACUAGAUUUUUUUAUUGCUUGCUAAGUUACCUUGUUUUGAGACACAUUUUUAUCCUGUAAAGCAU
ensembl:lncRNA